GAUAUUGUAGCAGGCCUAUUCAUUUAUAAUUUCCAGGGUCCACCCCUCCUCUCCUUCCCUCAGUUCCCUUUUGUUCAGUAUUCAGCACUUUCCAGUUCUUUUUUCCAUUUCACUGCAGAAAAAGAAAAAAAAGAAAAGAAAAGAAAAACAGAGUGGCUGAACAAUGCCCCCUGCUUAAGUCCCCCAGAAGCAUAUUUUCUUUAGAGCAACAGAGGCUUUUGCAAUAUGGAAAAAGUGACAUUUGAUCUGAAGGAGUGUGGAGGGGAGCUCUGAGUGUGGGGGACUGACCUUUACUAACCACCUACCCAGAGCGGAGGCUGGAGAAGCGCGAGCUGAGCCUGCAGCAGUGAUGUCUGGUGCCCUCCACAGGCCAAAUUUUAUUGCCUUGACCUUUCUUCAAAUGAGAUGAUCUUCUGGGCCUCCUUACCCUGGACCCCUACUCCAGGCAGCACUGGAUUUGAAACCUGUUACCCGGGAAGAAGCUCCAUGGAGUCAGAGCUGCAGAAAUCUGGCCACAGAAUCCUACCCUAAGAGCACCGAGAGAAAGAGAAAUGCCCUCAGUGAAAUACUGUCACCUGGAACUGGACUGAGAACCAAU